rnacentral:snRNA from 1 species
GUGCUCGCUUGGGCAGCGCAUAGACUAAAAUUGGAACGAUACAGAGAUUAGCAUGGCCCCUGUGCAAGGAUGACAUGCAAAUUCAUGAUGCGUUCCAUAUUUUU